rfam:Picea glauca, whole genome shotgun sequence.
GUGUUCGUAGAAAGGAGAGAUGGUUGGCAUCUCCCUCGACAAGGACGGGAACAGUCUUCGGACUUUCUUAUCACACGCGGUUAAGGCUCUCCACCCCCUCCAGGGUGGAUCUUACCCCAAGGGUUUUU